rnacentral:tRNA from 1 species
GCCUGGGUGGCUCAGUGGUUGAGCAUCUGCCUUUGGCGCAGGUCGUGGUCCCAGGAUCCUGGGAUCAAGUCCCACAUCAAGUU